ACUGUUUGUCCUAUGGCUAUUUAUUUUAACAAAUUUGACAAAAUAACCCGACAGAGUAAAAGCGAUAUUAACAGGACAUCGUAUUACAAUGUAUAGAGUCCGUGGUGCAUGAAGUGGGACGGGAACGUUAUUAUUGUAGCAUCAAACUUUCAUAAAACAGAACUUUAUAUACAUGUAUCUUCAGAUCGUCUCUAUACUCUAUCCCAAGUUUCUGCUUCCACCAUUUCUGCUUCAUAGCUCGAUAAUCAUCAACACCUUGGUGUCCAAACUAUGUUCAUCUGCUACAAUGAGCUCAGAUGUUCCAUUUUGAAACACCCUCCUAACGCACCAGGUUUCAAUGCACAACCAAGAAUAGAAAGUCUAAGGACGUGAAAAAAAUACCCGGAUGAUAACGUUGGAAAAUUGUGCAGGGUAUCCCGAGUACCUCCGAGUGGAGAAAAGAUGUAAACAUUUCUCAUUAUAAACUAAUAAAUCUCCGUAAGAAAUUUGUUUUUGAUCAUGUUAAUUUCUUUGGGUCAAAAAAGAUCAUGUGUCAAAGAGGAAAUCUUGGAUUUUCCUCCUUGGAUCGAUUUCGAAUUUCAUUCGUUGACAGGUAAUAUGUAUCUCAUUUAAAUUGGUCAAAGAGUAACUGAAGCAAAAACUUUGGAUAUAGUAUUAUAGUUACUGUAAACGAUAAUUAUGUUAGGGAAAUAGCGGUUCAGUCACAGCAGGUCAUGUUAAAAUGGCAAUACUAGAUUCCUGGUUAAACACGCGGGAUUAAUAUCCGCGUAUAAAUCGCGAGCUCUCUCAGCGGACACUGCCAAAGUAAAUAACAAUUGUGGGGAUGAAAAUGUAGCGGCCCGUGUCGUAUAAUUUAAGGUCCGACCCGUUAAUCGGUCCGGCCGGACCUUUAAUGUUAACAUAUAAGGUCCGCCUUUCCCUUAUAAGAUAAGGUCCUACCUGUGUUUCAAACAAAUAAUUAUACACAGCUAUGUAUACAUAAUUGUAAGAAAUACUACAAUAUUUAUGCGUAGUUGUUGAAAAAAAAUGUUCAGAAGCUUCUUUUACCGCCUGUUUUCGUUUUGUAAGUGAGUGUUUGACCAGAGAUAGAAAGACCUGAGAAGUUGCCCUUAUACCCCAUAGAACGAAUCAACCAAAGUUAGGCUGAUUUAUGGAAGUUUUUAAAAGUACUUGGAAUUCUGACAUUGGGCCGCGGAGUCCGUACAAUACGUGUUGUUAUUGAAGCUUUUUUUUAACUAUCACGAAAUAGUCCACGUUGAAAAGUUAAAAGGUGACAUUAUUCAAUGACCAUUUAACAAACUGAUUUAAACAUUAUGUAUGACACUAAGGUAUUUGAACAAAUAUUGUCCCUUAAUGAGCACUGCCACAAAAUGCAUUCAAAGAAACUUCGAUGUUUAUAAAGUUUAAGAAAUGCGUACUAGUAUAUUGUGUUUCGGCUUUCCCCGUGACCGUGGUUUUAUGAACACCAUUAAAUUCCUGAAGACAAUACAGACAAAUUAAAAUACUCAGCUGAUAUAAAUUAAAACAUAGAAACAAAGAAACUAGGUGUGCCAAAAGGAGGGUUUCACAAGCGGUGUGAGGUCGACCAGUAUCUGAUCAUACGAAGCUGAGAUUCAUAAAACACUCCAGGUACCUUGAGCUGACACGAGUACAGGUACUAUAAAGCGACCUGUUUAACGAGGCCGAGUACAGAACGAGUACGCACGCUUUCGCGCAGCGUUUCAUUUGUAUUUUGACGUCAUCAUUUUGCUUUGUUGACGCCAUGGCGUGAUAGUUUCAACUGCAGAUAUUCAACGAAAUUUGUUGAAAAUAGCUCAUUUGAUGCGUAAAAUUGAUAUUAUAUUGUGGAAUAAACAUAAAUGUCUCGAAUUAUAAGCUAUAUUUGGGCUCGGGUCGAAAACGUGAAGAAAGUUCAGCAAGCCUAGCCCUCUGUCACGUUUUCUUAACCCGCCUAAAUAUAGCUUAAUUCAUAUAUUUCAAGACAGUAACCAUGUAUUUUAUAUUAAUGACCCUUAAUAUGUGAUGUUUUAUAUUUAUUUAUUACUUAAAUAUGUCUGAAUGUUUUAAUCAUACUAUAAAGAUCACCAUUUCCGCCUUUGUCAAAUACAAAAUAGCCAUUACCUGACAAAUCUGGGAAAUUGGGCAUACAAAAAACAACUUUGAUAAGACCCCUGGAACAAACCAGGUGGUAAAAGUGUUUUUUUAUUUGACCAUUUGAUGCCUUUUAGCAAUAACUUUAAUAUGUAGAACAGAAAAAGAAAUCCCUAGGGCAGAAGUUUUUAAAAAAUUGCAAAA